UUUUUUUUUUUAUUUUUAAGAAAAGAAACAAAUGCUUUAUUUUCUGUACUACUGCCAAGUCAUUAUUUAAUUCAGUGUAUUGAAUGUAUUUCAUUUUUCUUGUCUUUGAAGACAUUUCCAUUGAAGCUUCUUUUUCUAAUGUUUACUGACUGAUUUUAGGUGUGCUGCACGAUUCUAAUUUUGGGUUUAUUUUAUUUGGAAGUCAUUUUAUAUAUAUAUAUAUAUAUACAUAUUUAUUUCAUGCCAUAUUACUCAUUGAUUUGAUUUUCACCUUUGUUUUGCUAACUUUUUGUCAUACAAGGUGCAACGAGUGGUAAAUUUUCAAAACUGUUUUAUACUUGAAAAUGUCAUUUUUUUUUUUUUUGUUCAGGGGACUGCAUCUCACAUUUUCCUAAUAGUUUAAUGAAAUAUAUAAUACUUGAUCCGUAAUAAUAUUGAUUUCAAACUUUGAAAGCGUUUGUUCCAAUGUCUUCCUCUAUCCAGCGUUUCUGAUCAGAGUCAUCAGACAGCCUGAAUCUUAUUCCUUUGUAAAUGAUGUAUUUCUGUCUCUGGAGGCUUUUAGCAAUUUCUCUUCCUUUUUGGUCCUUCAAAAUCUCACAAUAAAGUGUUAAUCUGGAUUUUUUCCCUCUUUUUCCCGCUCAGCACUUGAUAUGGUGGCUCAUGCAAUUUGAAGUUUUGUGUUUCUCUUCAGAGGAUCCACAAUGCCAUGCUCAGUCCAGCUCCUCAAACUGGAGUUCCUCGCCUGAUGACUUUAAUAAAGGAUUCAAGUGAUGUACUUUGUAGGUACACAAUAAAGCACUUCAACGAGCCUUCAUUUCCUGAGUUGUAAAAUGUGAACAAUCACAAGAUAAUAGAUGAACUUUGGUAGCUUUUUUUUUUUUCCACAUUGACAUGAAUCUGGCUAGCUCUUUGUCUUCCCCAAUCUACACAGAGUUCACUGUUUAGGUCCUGAGAUCCUCAGCUACUGUUUAAUUAAAUUAGGAGAAGAAAGAUUGCGGUUCACUAUAUUCAUGGCAAAGUUCAGGUCAAUAUUAAAAAUCAUAUGAACACCACUUCAGUACUUAAUUAGAGGAAUGAUGUCUUAACAGAUUUCUUUUUCUCUUCUGGGUACUCAGCUAUGGCCAGGAAUCAGAAAAUCUUUUGCCUUUCUCUGAUUUCCCUUGAAUUGCGCUUUUUAUCUAUAUUAUAUAAUGAAGUUACCAAAAAUAAUUAGUUCUGCAUCUGGCUGAUUCUGAAAAACAUUGCAAGCUAAUUCUGGAUAAAAUACUAAUCAUUUUUUCAAAUUUCCAUAUUACUUUUAAAAAGCAUGCUGGAUGAAUAAGUUCUAGAAAUCUGCUGUACAACUUAGCACCUACAGUUAACAACACAGUAUUGUGCACUUCAAAAGUUAAGAGAGAUCUCAUGUUAAGUGUUUUUACCAUAAAAAAAUGAAACAAAAAACAAAGGAACACAAGAAAACUUUGGGCAGUGUUGCUUAUGUCUGUAACCUUGAUGAUGGUGAUGGUAUCACAGGUGUUCUCAUGCGUGCAAACUCAUCAAAUUGUACAUGUUAGAUUGUUCUGUUCUUUGUAUAUCAUUAUAAUCUCAAUAAAGCUGUGAAAAAAGUCAAAUGUAUUAAUAAUAAUAUAACAAAAAAUUAAACAAUAACGUGAUAUAAAAUUUACACAACAAAACAUUUUGUCGGACACUUUAAACCAUAGGAUACACUUCAGAUAAACUUCCUGCAGGCUGACUUCUAAAGGCAAAGCUACUCUAGAUUGCGGUAGCUAUGGAAUGGAGACUGAAACUAGAUAGACAAUAAAAUUAGGGUUGUUAUAUCAGAGAGGGUGUUUUAAAAAAGUUGUUUUAUAAAGUUAAUUAUUUCUUCGCUUCCUUUCUCCAGUUAAUACCUCAUAUAGCAGUGACUUCUCCUGCUGCAAUAUAAAAUACUAUAUAACCCCUAUAUUCUAUUGCAGCACAGCUCAGAGGCAGCUGUACAAGAGAGAAGAUCUGAAUGAUACAGACAGCUGAGUCUGGCAUUUUACAAAAAUUAGAGUGCAAAAACAGCAGAUCAGAGAGCAUUGAGCAAUGAGCAGAUCCAUUGAAAAUUUUGUAGAAUACAUUGGAAGAUUAAGAACCAGCUUAUGCUGCAACAUUUGAAUUGUAUAAAAAUGGGACUUGGCUUGAUAGAAUGGCAGAAAUACUUGAUUAUGAUUCAUCACUUAAUGUUUAAAGUUAAUAUUUAAUAUUAAAGUCUCUAAUAAAAAUAAGUGGCAACUUAAGUGCAUAUUAGCAAAAAAAAAAAGAUAGGAUACAAUCAACUAUUACAAUCAGGAAGGCACAAAUGUAGUAGAAUGGAUUUGGAACCAAAGAAGGGGUAGUACCCUUAGCCAUACAUGAAUAAAAUGGCACAGAUCAUUCCAUAGUGAGUAAGAGAGAGGGAAGAAGAAAGGACUGGAAACAGAAUGAGUCUCAGUCUAUGUACAGGUAGAA
ensembl:lncRNA